rnacentral:rRNA from 1 species
UAGCCUACGGGACGCAGCAGUGGGGGAUAUUGCACAAUGGGGGAAACCCUGAUGCAGCGACGCCGCGUGUGGGAAGACGGUCCUCUGGAUUGUAAACCACUGUCCCCAGGGACGAAGAUGACGGUACCUGGGGAGGAAGCUCCGGCCAACUACGUGCCAGCAGCCGCGGUAAUACGUCGGGAGCGAGCGUUGUCCGGAAUUACUGGGUGUAAAGGGAGCGUAGACGGUGAUGCCAGUCUGGCGUGAAAGG